rnacentral:rRNA from 1 species
AACGGGGGUAUGCCCCUAGUACGGCGAGUGAAGCGGCAACAGCUCAAAUUUGAAAGCUAGCCUUCGGGUUCGCAUUGUAAUUUGUAGAGGAUGAUUUGGGGAAGCCGCCUGUCUAAGUUCCUUGGAACAGGACGUCAUAGAGGGUGAGAAUCCCGUAUGUGACAGGAAAUGGCACCCUAUGUAAAUCUCCUUCGACGAGUCGAGUUGUUUGGGAAUGCAGCUCUAAAUGGGAGGUAAAUUUCUUCUAAAGCUAAAUAUUGGCGAGAGACCGAUAGCGCACAAGUAGAGUGAUCGAAAGAUGAAAAGCACUUUGGAAAGAGAGUUAAAAAGCACGUGAAAUUGUUGAAAGGGAAGCGCUUGCAAUCAGACUUGUUUAAACUGUUCGGCCGGUCUUCUGACCGGUUUACUCAGUUUGGACAGGCCAGCAUCAGUUUCGGCGGCCGGAUAAAGGCUCUGGGAAUGUGGCCUCCACUUCGGUGGAGGUGUUAUAGCCCAGGGUGUAAUACGGCCAGCCGGGACUGAGGUCCGCGCUUCGGCUAGGAUGCUGGCGUAAUGGUUGUAAGCGACCCGUCUUGAAAACACGGACCA